rnacentral:rRNA from 1 species
AUUGAACGCUGGCGGAAUGCUUUACACAUGCAAGUCGAACGAUGAACCUUAGCUUGCUAAGGGAAUUAGUGGCGAACGGGUGAGUAAUGUAUCGGAACGUAUCCAAUAAUGGGGGAUAACUAGUCGAAAGAUUAGCUAAUACCGCAUACGUCCUACGGGAGAAAGCUAGGGACCUUCGGGCCUGGCGUUAAUGGAGCGGCCGAUAUCUGAUUAGCUAGUUGGUGGGGUAAAGGCUCACCAAGGCGACGAUCAGUAGCUGGUCUGAGAGGACGACCAGCCACACUGGAACUGAGACACGGUCCAGACUCCUACGGGAGGCAGCAGUGGGGAAUUUUGGACAAUGGGCGAAAGCCUGAUCCAGCCAUUCCGCGUGAGUGAAGAAGGCCUUCGGGUUGUAAAGCUCUUUCGCAAGGGAAGAAAACUUAAGCUCUAACAUAGCUUGAGGUUGACGGUACCUUGAUAAGAAGCACCGGCUAACUACGUGCCAGCAGCCGCGGUAA